rnacentral:lncRNA from 1 species
GUUUUAUGAGUUGCAGGUAUCCAGGUAAUUUUCAUAUGUUCUGCAUCACAGUAUUUCCAUGGUAUUUUUAAAGGUGUGCAGUCAGAAAACAAUGGUGUCUUUAACCAUGGUAUAGACCUCGUGUUAUAGCAAGUUUCCAGGUAGAGAUGUAUCCUGCAAUGAUGGAAGUGAAUAAGAUUAUUUGCAAUUGUCCAAGUUGAAAAGGUGUGUCUGUAUCACAUUUGUCACAAUGCGUUUUUCAGGUUCCAGCCAGAAGAUCAUGUUGAACUUCAUAAUGACCAUUAAUGGGGGCUUUGCUUGUAGACAAGUGAUUAUGUGGGCCUUAAGCAUCCUACAGAUCAUGUGAUCUUCACAUAUCUUGGAGCAGCAGGACAUCUGGGGUUGAGAAGAUGGAGAGAGCAUCUUUAUAUAACGUUGCAAUCUGGAAGUAUCACUCUCAAAAAGGUUUUGAUAGACUAGAAAAAUGACAAGACUCCAAGUCCUUGAAGAGGAGGAAAAGUGUGAAGAAAACAAAAAAAGGAGAUUGAUGUCUGCUUCACCAUUUUGCCCAAGAUUUGACCUGUCAUGCACUGAAGCUCAGAGAGGAAGAAAGGACCAUGUGAGAGAAGAAGGGAGCAGCCUUUCAUCCAUAGGAGAAGUUUGUCUAUGACAAAGCCACUAGCUCCAUGUGGCCGCUGAGCACUCAAAAUGUGGCCAGUCUGAAUUGAAAUGUAAGUAUAAACUCCACAGUGGCUUUUUGAGCACUUUGUAUGAGAAAAAAGAAUACCAAAUAUCUCCUUAGUGAUUGUUACAUUGAUUAUAUGUUGAACGGAU